rnacentral:rRNA from 1 species
UAGGGAAUCUUCCACAAUGGACGCAAGUCUGAUGGAGCAACGCCGCGUGAGUGAAGAAGGUUUUCAGAUCGUAAAGCUCUGUUGUAAGAGAAGAACGUGUGUGAGAGUGGAAAGUUCACACAGUGACGGUAACUUACCAGAAAGGGACGGCUAACUACGUGCCAG